GACAGAGGUGCCAAGCGUUAGGCGGAAUCACUGGGCUUAAAGCGUGUGUAGGCGGAUAUUUAAGUACCUUGUGAAAUCCCACGGCUCAACCGUGGAACUGCUUGGUAUACUGGGUGUCUUGAGCCAUCUAGGGGCUACCGGAACAAAUGGUGGAGCGGUGAAAUGCGUAGAUAUCAUGAGGAACACCGGUGGCGAAGGCGGUUCUCUGGGACGGUACUGACGCUGAGACGCGAAAGCGUGGGGAGCGAACAGG
rnacentral:rRNA from 1 species